rnacentral:rRNA from 1 species
UGGGGGAUAUUGCACAAUGGGGGAAACCCUGAUGCAGCGACGCCGCGUGGGUGAAGGAGCACUUCGGUGCGUAAAGCCCUAUCGGCAGGGAAGAAAAGGGGGAAACCCCGGACGGUACCUGACUAAGAAGCCCCGGCUAACUACGUGCC